rnacentral:lncRNA from 1 species
GCCGUACUGCAAACCAAGCAAUGUCACAGAAUAUUGGAAGUGAGGAUCAAAAUGAUGCUUAUAAUAAUGAAUCUAAAAACCUCCCUGGUCCUGCUGCACCUCCUCCAAGACCUGGUAUGCCUUCAGUUCGUCCUCUUCCGCCACCACCUGGACUAGCUUUGAAUCUACCCCGUGGGCUUAUGCAUAACAUGCAAUAUUCUAAUCCUAAUAGCAUUGGCCUUCCGAUGCCUCCACCAAGACCAGGCAUGCACAUGAUGCAAUCUCUCCGGCCUGCCCCUCCUCCUCCAAUGCAGAUGCCUGGUGGACAACAUUCCAUGAUGGGUGGUCAACCACCCCCAAUGCAUCCAUCAAUUUCUAUGAAUAACCAAGGAAUUCCCAUUCCUCCACCACCUGGAUCUCAGUUCACUCCUGUUCCAAGACCUUAUGCUCCUCACCCUCAUCCAUCAUCAGGGAUGAUGCCUAUGAUGCAUCCACCACCUCCGCCUCAAGGAGUGCCCCCACCGCCGCCACCUGAGGAAGCUCCUCCCCCGCUUCCAGAGGAACCAGAACCGAAGAGGCAGAAACAUGACGAUUCUGCUCUGAUCCCUGAGGAUAAAUUUCU